rnacentral:rRNA from 1 species
CUACGGGGGGCUCCAGUGGGGAAUAUUGCACAAUGGGCGCAAGCCUGAUGCAGCCAUGCCGCGUGUAUGAAGAAGGCCUUCGGGUUGUAAAGUACUUUCAGCGGGGAGGAAGGGAGUAAAGUUAAUACCUUUGCUCAUUGACGUUACCCGCAGAAGAAGCACCGGCUAACUCCGUGCCAGCAGCCGCGGUAAUACGGAGGGUGCAAGCGUUAAUCGGAAUUACUGGGCGUAAGGCGCACGCAGGCGGUUUGUUAAGUCAGAUGUGAAAGCCCCGGGCUCAACCUGGGAACUGCAUCUGAUACUGGCAAGCUUGGGUCUCGUAGAGGGGGGUAGAAUUCCAGGUGUAGCGGUGAAAUGCGUAGAGAUCUGGAGGAAUACCGGUGGCGAAGGCGGCCCCCUGGACGAAGACUGACGCUCAGGCGCGAAAGCGUGGGGAGCGAACAGGAUUAGAUACCCUUGUAGUC